rnacentral:rRNA from 1 species
GACGAGCGCUGGCGGCGUGCUUAACACAUGCAAGUCGAACGGUGAACUCCGCUUGCGGGGGGAUCAGUGGCGAACGGGUGAGUAACACGUGGGCAACCUGCCCUCAGCUCUGGGAUAACUCCAAGAAAUUGGGGCUAAUACCGGAUAUGACCGCUGACCGCAUGGUCUGGUGGUGGAAAGAUUUAUCGGCUGGGGAUGGGCCCGCGGCCUAUCAGCUUGUUGGUGGGGUAGUGGCCUACCAAGGCGACGACGGGUAGCCGGCCUGAGAGGGUGACCGGCCACACUGGGACUGAGACACGGCCCAGACUCCUACGGGAGGCAGCAGUGGGGAAUAUUGCGCAAUGGGCGAAAGCCUGACGCAGCGACGCCGCGUGGGGGAUGACGGCCUUCGGGUUGUAAACCUCUUUCAGCAGGGACGAAGCGAAAGUGACGGUACCUGCAGAAGAAGCACCGGCCAACUACGUG